rnacentral:rRNA from 1 species
GGGUUGUGAGGUUAAGCGACUAAGCGUACACGGUGGAUGCCCUGGCAGUCAGAGGCGAUGAAGGACGUGCUAAUCUGCGAAAAGCGCCGGCGAGGUGAUAUGAACCCUUGACCCGGCGAUGUCCGAAUGGGGAAACCCAGUGCAAUCCGUUGCACUAUCGUUAACUGAAUACAUAGGUUAACGAGGCGAACCGGGGGAACUGAAACAUCUAAGUACCCCGAGGAAAAGAAAUCAACCGAGAUUCCCCCAGUAGCGGCGAGCGAACGGGGAGCAGCCCGGAGUCUGAAUCAGCUUGUGUGUUAGUGGAACGGUCUGGAAAGUCCGACGGUACAGGGUGAUAGUCCCGUACACGAAAGCACACAUGCUGUGAACUCGAAGAGUAGGGCGGGACACGUGGUAUCCUGUCUGAAUAUGGGGGGACCAUCCUCCAAGGCUAAAUACUCCUGACUGACCGAUAGUGAACCAGUACCGUGAGGGAAAGGCGAAAAGAACCCCGGCGAGGGGAGUGAAAAAGAACCUGAAACCGUGUACGUACAAGCAGUGGGAGCCUCUUUAUGGGGUGACUGCGUACCUUUUGUAUAAUGGGUCAGCGACUUAUAUUCUGUAGCAAGGUUAACCGUAUAGGGGAGCCGAAGGGAAACCGAGUCUUAACUGGGCGUUAAGUUGCAGGGUAUAGACCCGAAACCCGGUGAUCUAGCCAUGGGCAGGUUGAAGGUUGGGUAACACUAACUGGAGGACCGAACCGACUAAUGUUGAAAAAUUAGCGGAUGACCUGUGGCUGGGGGUGAAAGGCCAAUCAAACCGGGAGAUAGCUGGUUCUCCCCGAAAGCUAUUUAGGUAGCGCCUCGUGAACUCAUCUUCGGGGGUAGAGCACUGUUUCGGCUAGGGGGCCAUCCCGGCUUACCAACCCGAUGCAAACUACGAAUACCGAAGAAUGUUAUCACGGGAGACACACGGCGGGUGCUAACGUCCGUCGUGAAGAGGGAAACAACCCAGACCGCCAGCUAAGGUCCCAAAGUCAUGGUUAAGUGGGAAACGAUGUGGGAAGGCACAGACAGCCAGGAUGUUGGCUUAGAAGCAGCCAUCAUUUAAAGAAAGCGUAAUAGCUCACUGGUCGAGUCGGCCUGCGCGGAAGAUGUAACGGGGCUAAACCAUGCACCGAAGCUGCGGCAGCGACACUAUGUGUUGUUGGGUAGGGGAGCGUUCUGUAAGCCGUUGAAGGUGUGCUGUGAGGCAUGCUGGAGGUAUCAGAAGUGCGAAUGCUGACAUAAGUAACGAUAAAGCGGGUGAAAAGCCCGCUCGCCGGAAGACCAAGGGUUCCUGUCCAACGUUAAUCGGGGCAGGGUGAGUCGACCCCUAAGGCGAGGCCGAAAGGCGUAGUCGAUGGGAAACAGGUUAAUAUUCCUGUACUUGGUGUUACUGCGAAGGGGGGACGGAGAAGGCUAUGUCAGCCGGGCGACGGUUGUCCCGGUUUAAGCAUGUAGGCGGAGGUUCCAGGUAAAUCCGGUACCUUAUUAACGCUGAGGUGUGAUGACGAGGCACUACGGUGCUGAAGUGAUAAAUGCCCUGCUUCCAGGAAAAGCCUCUAAGCAUCAGGUAACACGAAAUCGUACCCCAAACCGACACAGGUGGUCAGGUAGAGAAUACCAAGGCGCUUGAGAGAACUCGGGUGAAGGAACUAGGCAAAAUGGUGCCGUAACUUCGGGAGAAGGCACGCUGAUGUGUAGGUGAAGCCCCUGCGGGCGGAGCUGAAAUCAGUCGAAGAUACCAGCUGGCUGCAACUGUUUAUUAAAAACACAGCACUGUGCAAACACGAAAGUGGACGUAUACGGUGUGACGCCUGCCCGGUGCCGGAAGGUUAAUUGAUGGGGUUAGCGGCAACGCGAAGCUCUUGAUCGAAGCCCCGGUAAACGGCGGCCGUAACUAUAACGGUCCUAAGGUAGCGAAAUUCCUUGUCGGGUAAGUUCCGACCUGCACGAAUGGCGUAAUGAUGGCCAGGCUGUCUCCACCCGAGACUCAGUGAAAUUGAACUCGCUGUGAAGAUGCAGUGUACCCGCGGCAAGACGGAAAGACCCCGUGAACCUUUACUAUAGCUUGACACUGAACACUGGUCCUUGAUGUGUAGGAUAGGUGGGAGGCUUUGAAGCGUGGACGCCAGUCUGCGUGGAGCCAACCUUGAAAUACCACCCUUUAAUGGCUGGUGUUCUAACGUAGACCCGUAAUCCGGGUUGCGGACAGUGUCUGGUGGGUAGUUUGACUGGGGCGGUCUCCUCCCAAAGAGUAACGGAGGAGCACGAAGGUUGGCUAAUCCUGGUCGGACAUCAGGAGGUUAGUGCAAUGGCAUAAGCCAGCUUGACUGCGAGCGUGACGGCGCGAGCAGGUGCGAAAGCAGGUCAUAGUGAUCCGGUGGUUCUGAAUGGAAGGGCCAUCGCUCAACGGAUAAAAGGUACUCCGGGGAUAACAGGCUGAUACCGCCCAAGAGUUCAUAUCGACGGCGGUGUUUGGCACCUCGAUGUCGGCUCAUCACAUCCUGGGGCUGAAGUAGGUCCCAAGGGUAUGGCUGUUCGCCAUUUAAAGUGGUACGCGAGCUGGGUUUAGAACGUCGUGAGACAGUUCGGUCCCUAUCUGCCGUGGGCGCUGGAGAAUUGAGGGGGGCUGCUCCUAGUACGAGAGGACCGGAGUGGACGCAUCACUGGUGUUCGGGUUGUCAUGCCAAUGGCACUGCCCGGUAGCUAAAUGCGGAAGAGAUAAGUGCUGAAAGCAUCUAAGCACGAAACUUGCCCCGAGAUGAGUUCUCCCUGAGACUUUAAGUCUCCUGAAGGAACGUUGAAGACGACGACGUUGAUAGGUCGGGUGUGUAAGCGCAGCGAUGCGUUGAGCUAACCGAUACUAAUGAACCGUGAGGCUUAACCUUACAACGCCGAAGGUGUUU